rnacentral:lncRNA from 1 species
CAAGAUCUUAUGUCAGGGUCUCAGGGGUGGGGGAGACAAACGAUGAAAAAGAAGGUAGUGCCAGUGGCAGCCAGGCCUAGAGGGCAAACUCAGCCUUUACUCCUGGCAGCGUUGAGGAAGUUCUAACUAGGGAGGAAUUUGGUCUGUUUAUAUUUUUAAGGAUAAAGGUUUCCUACUGGUGAAUGGUUAUAACUAUUUGCUGUUCUGAUGUCUGAACAAUUGAAUCUUAGGGCUUUCGUACACAUUUUUCUUAUUGAGUGAGGCAAGGCAUAUAGGUUUUCGUGUUAUUUCUGUUUCACUCUGUGUGCGUGAGUUGCCUGUAGUCUUUGUCCUUUGGGGUGCUUGCUUGUCUUGAAGAUUCCUUACACACUUUCUGCUGAGGCUACAGCUCAGGGGUGGAACACUAGUCUAGCACACACAAAGCCUCCAGCACACACACCCCAAAUCUGUUACAAAUUGGAAGAUAUGAAGCCUUUGCAGUCUGUACCCAUGUGUCUCUGAAUGCCCUUGUGACUGCACAGAAGGGCUGCUGAAGGAAUGUGACCUGUGCAUACACUGGCUUGUUGUCCCCUGCCUCGGGAUGUUUCUGGAGCAUCUGCUCUGUCAGCUGCUGUGGUACUAGCAGAACUGGACAGCAUGAGAUGAGAACUGAGGAAAACUCAGAAGAAAAGGGAUUCCAAGUCAUUGGCAAGUCAUUCCAAGGACUGGAGAGAUGACUCAGAUGGUUAAGAGUACUGUUGCUCUUGAAGUGGACCAGGGUUGGGUUCCCAGCACCCACGUGGUGGUUCACAGCCAUUCAGAACUUCAGUUCCAGGGGUUCUGAUGACUUCUUCUGACUUCCAUGGGCUCCAGGCACGUACAUGGUACACAUAUGUUCAUGCAGGAAAAACACUCAUGCACUUAAACUUGAAAACAAUAAUAAAAUAACCAAGACUUUCCAGCUGAUGGUUCCUCUACCUAGAAACGGCCAACCUUCAUUUCUUUCUCCAGCAAGGAGGACUUCACAACAGCUUAAGAACAAGGUGGGGAGGGAUCAGUAGCCAUAGUUUGAAAAACUACCCCCUCAAACACACACCUUUGUGCCAGAUAGAUUCACUACACAAGCAUUUACAAAUGUGACUCUGCCUUGGGCAUCAAGAAAUGGGCACAACAGCAUCCCCAGGUGUCACUGAAGUUCUCCCAAAUCCUG